GAGCAAAGAGAUAAACAGAAGCGCAGCACGGGAGCGUGUUUCACACGGCCUCAGGAACGAAGCGCAUUCCUUAUCCACACCACUCCCCCUCCCCCUUCCCUCUUCUUCUGCCUGCUGCGAGCGAAGGCCGAACCAGCAAAGGGAAAAGCGAAAUACGAGGCUGCCACACUCGCACGCUCGCAGCACCGGAUACGGCGCCGACUCUCUCUCUAUCGGCACACGUGCAUGCACACACAGCUGCGCUUUCUCACUCGCUCUCUCCAACUCGGCCUUUAAGGACGAAAACAAAAGAAAAAAGAAGGUGCAGCAGCGCCUUUUCCCUCUCUGUGCAUAUCUUCACCCCUCCACCUACCCCCUCUCGACGCAGCACGGAAUCCGAGACGCGUGCGCUGCUGCUGGUCAGCUACGUUAUUUCUUCACUCGCCCGUUGAACAUCUCAUUCUGGGCCCCACGCCCCAGCCUAUCCGUGCACGGCACGCACGAAACCGGCACAUACGCGCGCACAUCACCAUCAUCAUACUCGCAUACACACACACACAUAUAUAUAUAUAUACUCGCGAUCGCAGAGUCCGACUUGAAGCCGCUGCUCUUGUGUGCCUGUGCGUGUAUGUGUUUGUGUGUGUGUGUGUGUUCGAGCUCAAUACAAACAAAUAGAGUUCUUUUACUUGUUGCCAACCCCCUCUUUGCCUUUGUUUUCGUUUACGCCUGUUGUCCGUGGGACGCUUCUUUAGUGUCUCCUGCUUUGCUCUGCUUCCUCCUCGCCGUCUCUCCUUCCCACGAAGCGUCGACGCGCACGCACGCACGCACUCACGGGUGUCGAAUCGAUCUCCCUCUCCCUCCCUUCCCUUUGAACGCUUGCCUUUUUUUUUUCGUUUCUUCUCUCGCCUCGACCUCUCUGCUGUGCGCGUGCGUGGCGUUUUUUUCGGUGUGUACUCCAGCUGUGCUGAUCGUCUCUCUGUAUGCUUUCUGCCUCCCUCUCCCUCCCUCUUUCAGUGUUUGCGUUCCUUCUUACUCGGCUCGAGUAGUCUCUCUCUCUCUCCCCCUCUUCCUCGUCCUCCUCCCACGCGCGCUCAGUUCGAGCCCUCCGCCACGUCUGCCGCACACCCGUGCCGUCGACAGUGACGCGUAACAAAACAAAGUUUCCCGCAGAGGACGUCACAGCAAAACAAACAAAAAAAGAAGGCAAAGAAGAGAGACAUAAACAAUCACACCCAGCGGAAGCCGUCGGCACGUCGCCCCUCUUCUCCUGCGCCGACCUGCCGACCUGCCCUUCCACCUAGUCUACUGCUUCUCUGCGUACGUGUUGCGGGGAAUCUUUUCCUUUCUCUCCUCCAUUUGUUUGCUGCCGCCCGCACGCUGUUGCCGCCUGCUGCUUUGAAUCCCUUUUUCAGCUGUCUUCACCGUCGUGUGUGCGCGCCCCCUCCCCCUCCCCGAGCUGCCCCACCACCACCACUUCGCUCUCUUACGCUCACUCUCUCUCUGAAUAUAUACACAUAUAUAUAUACACACGCACAUAUAUAUAUAUAUAGCCUUUGCUUACUCUUACAAAUUCCGCGUUGUCUUCGUUGUUCAGCUGCGCUUUUGUUUGCCAUCGUCGCCGGUGUGUGUCUGUGUUUGGGUGUGGGGGGUGUGCCUGUCUUCCUCUCAAUUGGCGUUGAGGCAGUUAUUACUGGCUAACUUAUGUUGCGCCGUGGCUGAUUGAGUGCGUGGUUUUGUCUUCGAGUGCUGGGUGUACCCAUAGAGGCCGACAGAUCCCGUUGUUGCUGCUGCCGCUGCUGCUCCUCUCUUUCCUCCCUUUCCUUAUUUGGUCCUUUCUUGUAUAGGUUCCUCUGAGUAUCACGGCGCGUGCUAACUCGUUACAGGUAUUCCGACUUGCUGCUGCUUCUCUUUCACUAGCGUUCUCGCUGUUUCUUUCUCUCCCGCCCUCUCUCUUAAGCAUCAGUGUCGCAAGUGCGUUGAUCUGCUUGCGUUUCAUUCAUCUUGUCCCCGUUCUCCUCUCUCUCCUUCCCUCUGCCUCUCCUCUCUGUCUCAGUCUCUUCACUUUUCUGUUUUUGUUUGUACUUUGCUCCUUUUCAUUUUUAUUUUGCGCAUUUUUUUCUUGGACUUUCUCUGUACUGCUGCUGCUGCUCUUCGUGAAAGAAUUUGUCUCCAUCUGUGCUUCCAUCUCUCUUCCUCUCUCUCUGCUUGUGGACCUCCUUUUCUCCCCCUACUCCUUCUUCACCUCUCCCCCACCCCUUCUCCCCCUCAUCAUCAUCCAUCGAAGACAAGGAAAAAAGACGGAAACGAUUUCUGCUGGUUUUCCAACCACCCGCGAUCAUCCUCCCCUGCAUUGAUUGGUACAUGCGUGGCCUGCGUGUAUGUCGAAGCGCUAUAUGUACGUCAGCAAGGUGUUUCUUCUUUGUUUUCUUUAGCGUCCGUGUGAGCGCAUAGUUCUCUGUAUGACUUCCCGUAUAUAUACAUAUAUAUAUUGUGCGUGUGUGUGUGUGUGUGUGUGUGUGUGUGUGUGUGUGUCUGUUCAUCUUGUUGUUGGCUUUCUUCUGCUUCGUCUUGUCGUUCCUUAGACACAUACUCCCACCACCAUCACCCCUCACCCGCCCGCUGCCGUUCUUCAUUACCCCCUUUCCCCACCCUCUCUGUCUUUUCUUUCCCUUUAACCUCGCACAUCCCACCCCAUCCCACUACCGCACUCUCGCAUCCAACAUUUUUUUUGUGUUCUGUUCUCUUUAGUUGUUGUUUUCUUGAGAUCGCCUCGCUUCGUUGAUCAGUAGUAUGCCUUCGUCGUCAUCGCGGCCACCGCCUUCCCUUUUCCCCCGCUCUCUUUCUUUCUCUGUCGUCUUGUUGUUGCUUGCCUUGCGCGCGCGUGUGUACGAAGGGAAGUGUGUCUGCUGUGUGCAUACCUUCUCUGUUUUAGAGCCUCGCGUAUUGUCUGAGCCGAUCAAGGCCCCCUUGCCCCCUCUUCUGCCACACACAUACAUACCUCCCUCCUUCUCCUCCUUUUCACUUUCUCUAAAGUACCUCUCCGUGCAUCCGCCUUUGAUACAUCAAUAAAUAUAUACGCAUAUAUAUAUAUAUAUAUCAGUCCGUCAGUCUUCUUUACCGUGAGCCGCCCGUGUGUACGUCUGUCUUUCUUUUUCUUCUAUGUACCUUCUCCAGUUUCCAUUUGAUCGUACCCGCGUCUCCGACCUCUUCUUCCCAUCCUUCCUCCCUCCCUCCUUUCUUCUUCUCGUGUACACCACCCACCCACCCCUCUGCUCUCCUUCUCUUGCGCUCACCGCCAUAGCAGCCGUGACACAGCUGGGAGAAACUGUAUUUCUGCUCGUCUGUGUGCGCGUCUGUCUCUCCGUCUAACUAGGCGUGCACAAGGAGGCAUCCAUUCUUUUUUUUUUUUCAUUUUGUUUUCCCGUAUUUCCUCGUUUUUUUUUGUCGUCGUGCGCGCCCUGCCUCCCUCCCUCCCCCUCCCCCCACCGGCCCGCUGCGCUUGUCUGAUUGCCGUCCUCCGCCCCCUCCUGUCUUUCCCCUGCCCUUCUCUCGGAGAGUGUGGCUGCCUUCCCUUGUCGCGAAUUCAUACUUUGCCCUUUCUUCCGCCUUUGUCGGCUCCUCACCCCUGUGUCUGUGUGUGUGUGUGUGUUUCCUCUGCAGCCGCACGCUCACCCGUGUGCUGAGGCUGCCGGAGUUGUGGUUCUUUGUUGUUCGUGCAUCACCUGCCUCGUGCUGAACGUGUUCGGGGAGUGCAUAUCGCUCUCCCGUCGUGUCCUCUUCCCCUUUCUGUUAGCGUGCGCAUCUCGCUCACGCCGCCAGGGAGAGGCGCCCACAUACGGGCACGCGCCUAGCCACAGGUGGGUGCGCACACGGUCUUUUCGGCGGCUCAUAAUCCAUCAUCACUUCGUUUUUUUCCGUUUCUCUGCUUCUUUCGUGUUCGUGGGCGUUGUCGUUGUGCCUGCCGCUCAGCACGGCUAUCAGUGCUGCCCCUCGCCUCCUAGUGCUUUCUUUCUCUCUCCCACACACCACCGGCCACCUCUUGUCGGUGCGGGCGUCUCUCUCUCUUUGAAGGAGCGGUCUUGCGCGUUCGCUAAGAAGAUCGAGAAGAGGACAUCUUUGCUUCUCUUCAUUGUGUUUGUGCGUGACGAGGGAGACAGAGAGGGAAGAGGAGGAGGGAGAGGGGUGCGGCGACGACAACGCGUGAGACGCCCGGUCGUCUACUGCCGAUUCCCCUGUUUCUUGUCUUAUUAUAUAACUGUUGCUGCUGCUGCCGCUGCUACUCUGUCGCCUCGUGAAAAGGCGGGUACGAUUGGCCGCCGCUGCUGGCCGCCGUCUACGAUCUCUCCCUUCAUUUUGCGUGCUUUGUUUCCAUUCGUGGGUGGGCGUGUGCUUUUCUCUCUCCACCCCUACCCCCCCCUCCCCUACUGUACCCCCCCCUCUCCUCCCCAUCGUUUGGUACAGCUCAGGGAGCUAUCGACUAGUCUCGUGCGAGUGUCUAGACCGCCCUCCCACCGGCUCUUUUUCCCGAGUAUCUCUCCGUCAUUCCUAUCUGACGUGUUGGUUGGUAUAUCCACCCCUACCUUCUACCUCUGUGUGUGUGUGUGUCCGUGUGCGUAUAUCUCCCCUCCCUCCCUCCCCCCCCGGCGGCGGCGUUGGUGCACCCGCCUUUUUCUCUUUGUGCGCGUGCUUCAGCUGUCUUUCGCCAUCUGCUUUUCUCUGUUUGCUUGCGCGCUCCUCACCCUCUCGCUCCCUCUGCCCUUCGCUGGCAGUCAUCGGCAGCUCACCGGUGCCCUUCAUCGCUUGCUCGGGAUACGCGCAGGAGCCCACGCGCCGCGCACGCACCCAUGCUUCAUCCGCGUCUUUGGCGCGACGAUCAUUCGGCCGCGCGGUGCACGGGGUGUGAGGCCAUUUUUUCGCUCUUUCGUUGCCGCCGUCAUCACUGCCGCCACUGCGGCGGCGUCUUCUGCGACGCGUGCACGGAGAAGCGGCUGUGGCUGCGACCGGUGCCUCCUCCGUCCAGGUCUCGUCACGUGGAGACUAGCUCGGCAAGAGGGUCACCUGCUGAGAUCCCGGCAAGGUCUGGUGUAGUCACGCCUACCGCCGUCCCCGCCUCCUCCUUGCUAAACCGCGCUCCGUCGCUAAACGGCGCCAAAUCAUCCAUCUCUGUCACGUCGAAGAACGAGGCGCGGCGCAGCAGGGCCAACAGCAGCAGCACUGGCGGCGAUGAAGCAGAGGCGACACUGUUUACGCGCUCGUCCUCUGCCGGCUCUUUGUAUGCGGUGCCGCUGCCCCGCCAGUCACCGCAGGGUCCUCAACGGGCUCCCGCGAUGGAGACCCAGCCACCGAAACGGGAGCAGCUCGCCGAAAGGCGAGACGACGUGCCAGCGCAUGUGAGGGGCACCAAAGAUGACGGUGCAGGGAAGUGGGAGCGCAGCGGCAGCAGCAGCACGACGACCAUGACGACGGCGACUGUACAUCACCGCGGCAGCAAUAGCGGACGGUUCAACGCGCCAUGCGCGGAGGCCGAGAUGCCAGCGCUGCCGUCGGCGCCUCGGCCACGCAACGAAGGCAAUGCGCCAACGGAAAACAGCGGCUGCCGCUUUGCCUCCGCGAAGUCGAUGGCCACCGCGUCAGCGGCACCGCCGCCGUCACGGACCCCAUCGCAAGGAAACAGCCACACUCAGGAAAUGCCAAGCGUGCAUCAUAGCCGCCGUGUGUCAAGCAGUCUCUACUCCGCAAGCAUCAACGCCAUCUCCCCCUCCACCGCCACCGGCGAAGUGCCUUCCCAGGUAUGGGCAACACCAGAGGUCAUGGUCGGCUUCGAACAGGGGUUCUCGUCGCAUCUGCUGCGCGGCAGCUCCGCCACCCACGGUGGGGGGGCGAGCGGCUGUGCCUCACUCAUGUCCGACUCUUUGCUGAAUCACCGUUGCCUAUUCGAGCACCACGAUGAUCAGCAGCAGAGCCAGCAAGGAGUGGCGGCCGGAGACGGCGGCACCUUGAACUGCUCAUUGGAGACGCGCAAAGGGAAACGCAUUGCCUCCGCUGAAACUGCUUUGGCCACCGCGCGUGGUAGCGACGCCAACAGCGGUGGCAGCGCGAGCGGCAGCAUCAUCGACAACGACGACGCCUACCGCCGCGAAAGCUAUAAAGUAGAGGUGGAUUCGGUGCGGUGCAUCACGUGGUACCUCUGCCGCGUGUGUCGCAGGUGCUACGAUCAUCUCGCGGACAGCAUCCUCGAUGCCCACGAAGCACCCCACGCCGCCGCCACGCUGCACAGCAGCUCGAAGCUGCCCCUCUGGUACUACGCACGAUUGUGCAGCUCCAGUGAACUGCUCGGCACCGAUGGUAGGAUAGGGAUCCAUCUUCAGCGGCGCGGCUGUGAAGCACCACGGCAUGCAACCUCGAAGCCGUCCGCGGCAUCGUUGUGCCCGACGGCAGCGGUGUCAAGCAGGUCUUUGCCCUCGUGGUCCUCUAUUUGGGCGCGAGUUCGAGCGUCGGUGUCACUACCUGCCUGUCGUGCUCUGUCGACGAUGACGUUGCCUGCCAUGAAGGCGGCGGCCACGCCAUCGUCUGCGUCGGCAUCACCCUUGCAGACUCGCGACCACUGUCAAGCGCGUGGCGCUGCCAGCAGGCGGCUGAGCGAAAGGACCAGCACGAAUGCCGCCGGGGUGCAGGCGAGCACCGGCUUGGGCGGGAGCGGGUACACGUCUCCUGUUAGCCUCGAAUCCGCAAGAGGGGACGACUCGAUCCUGUCACUGUCUGCACGGCCCGCCAUAAAGUCACCCAAGAUCGCAUCGGCGCAACCACAGUUACCGCAGCCAUCGUCGUCCUCGACGCGUGCGCGGCGCACCGUUACCCCACCCCGUCGGCUCCUCAUCAGCAUCGAUGGUAGCCCAGGCCCUCUUCGCCAGGCCGUGGCGCUGGCACGUCGACGGCGGCGCAUCGCUGUCAUCUUGAUUGACGAGCGCGACCUUGCCGCUGCAAACGAUGGCACCGAGGCGCCGCAGCAGCAUCAAGAGACCCCGUUUGGAACCCUAUCUGCACACCCUUACGCAGAUGUUGACGCGGAGACAGCGCUUCGGUCUAGCUCGGUCACCGACCAGAGUAGCGGCACGCAGACCGCAGUCCAGGCGCCGCCCAUCGCCGCAACAGCCGGUAUCACCUCGCCGGCACCUCAGUGCACGGAAAGCGAGAAGUAUGACGCUCACCAGCAAAACCAAGCAACAGACAGCAAUACGGCGCCAGCGGCUAUGACGAAAACGUCGGCGCGACGGCCGAAGCUGUCGAUUCGCGUGGAUGACGUCACCUUCGGCGACGCCGACGGGACAGCCGCCGCUUGCGCCAGCGGCAACAGCACAGACGCUGCAGCCCUGCGCGGGCUCGCACCUGCGGCGUGGCUUUUACCGCAGCUCCCUCUCCAAGCGGCGGCGCCGGUGAGCCCUUUCAUAGCCGCGCGAGCCUCGUCGCCCGCACUGUCCUCUUUCCUUCUCCACGAGAAUGCCUCCCUCGUCACCACAGUGCCCUCUUCGGUGGGAGCUGCAGCAGUCGCCUCAUCCCCGGCAACAAGCAAGCCGAUUUCAUGUCUUCCGGAUGGUCCGCAGGCCGCCACCUCCUUCGCCGUGAACGGUGAAGGUGUGCCAGCAACGCCGCACACGGAGGGCAAACUACCGGCGCUGCCCGUGGCUCUCGACAGCGGCGUGUGUGUGCUGCGAGCACUCUUUCGUCAAGUCGGCGCAGUGGUGCGUCUCUCAUCUAUGCCGGCCACGACGGCAUGCACGACGCCGACGCCGACCUCAGCAGCAGCAGCGGCGGCGGCAGCCUCCGGAGGGAGCGGACUCUCUCUGGGGGCGAGGGCCACCGGCGCAAGCGGCUUUUUCGCUGACCCCGCGAACUGUGCGAGCUCACAAACCGUGGUGACGCCUCUAUGUGGCACUGGCCCCGAGUCUUACGCUGCGCAGCGUCAGGCACUGGUUCGCGAGAUGGUUUUGCGGUACCAGCUGGGCCUAGGCGCAGCACCCCCGGACGUAAUGGCCUCGCCUCUCACGGCUGCUUUGAUUAGUGGCGCUUACACGGUGGCAGGGGAUCAGAACGAAGGUGCGCAUUGGUGUGGCGCUACCGGGCAACGUGGAGUCCCGGUUGGGUUAGGCAGCAGCAGUGGCAGUUAUGUGAACGCGGCCUGCCGGCGUGUCUGUGGGUGCCCUGCAGCGGCGUCGUUCGAGCGCAUGAUGGCGCCGGUGACGACGUAUUUCCAGCUGCGGCCGCCGGUGACUGCCACCGCCGCUGCGCCAGCAGCAACCGCAGCCACUGCGACCGCCGUCAACAUCUUGCCUGUCUCCACCCAGGUGGAGAUCGUCGGCAUACCCAUUGACACGUCUGCUGUCACAGGUGCAACCGCGUUGACGGCGGCCACAGCAGCUGCGCCAAGUGCGGUGUCGAUGGUAUCACCAGGACUCUCGUCCCCUCAUGUGCGCGGUGGCGGUAUCGGCGCCGGUACUGCCAUCAUCCCUGGACUUACCGCCGGCGACACGGUCGGCGGCACCUCGCGCCCCUUCACGAUGGCCGAGUUUCUGCCGCAGCUGGCAAAGCUAAGCACCAACCUCGACGGCUACGUGAUCGUCAUCCUGCGCCGCCAGAGCUCCAGAUGUGCGGGUGGGGGCGAUAGAACCUCCCCCGGCGGUGGCGCCACCGCCACGCGUCCUGGCCCCAACUGCGACUCCGCUGGGGACGCGCCCGUGGCCCAGAUGGGCAGCAGCAACAGCAGCGGCGGAGAUCAGUCUCGAGAGCUCGACGACAGCGCGCAGCAGGGUGCUGAUGCAGACCAGCUCGCCUCGAGCGCCUGUGUGUCCCUCUCCCUCCUUGAAGAGACCAAGUGCUCUGUGCCGCGGCCACUGCAGCUGCGCGGCCAGAAUCAGCGGCAGCGUCGAUGCCACCGCGUCACGGAGCUGUUUGGUGGGCAGCACAUUCGACUGCUCUAUCAGCAGCUGCAGAGCUGCGGGGUGCCUCAGCCAGCCGUUAGUGUUGUGGAAGUGAGCAACGAAGCUGAGCCCGGCGCACCAAAACUGUCGCCGGUGUAUCUGGUCAGUGGCAAGAGUCCACUGGAGGAGGCGAGCCUCUCCCAUAACGAGCCGGGAACACCGUCCAUGCUGCACCUCAAGGUCCGAGCAGGCAACGGCGGAGAGGACGGAGUCGCGGAAGGGUGGUCGGGUGCCGCGAAGCCGUCCCCACAAAACUCCGCCUUGUCCGCCUCUGGCAUGUCGAUGGCGUCGUCCGUCGACUCGGGCCUGAUGCGGCGGCCAUCAAGCGUUUCGACCAGCGCUACGGCACAGUCUCCACAGGCUACAGACAGAGCACCGCAUGCACCGUCGAUGCACGGUGACUGUUUCGAAAGGCUGCAGCUGCCUGCGUCGGUGGGCAUUGCGCUCAGUCAGACGGCGAAGGUGAUGAACACGUCUGCCUUCCCGGUGGUAGCGCCGACUGCGCUAGAGCAGGCCAUGACCUCUCUGCGGUGUGUGUCCCGGCAGCUGGGGGUCAGCAUGUGCAGCAUGACGUACGCCUCUGAGACGGCACCGCGUCCAAUGAGCAGCGCAUCAGCAUCCUACUCCAGCCAGUGUCCCGCGGUGCCAACGGCCACCAUGGCGGCGGAGGCACCAGUGCCUGCAGUACCGUCCUCACCUGCAUCAAAGGCGAACAAUAAUGCGAGUGGUAUUGGGGAGAGCGCUCUGCUCACACGCGCACUAGAGUCGCUCGUGGCCACGCUGGUCUACCGGGACAUCUGUGUCACUCUCUCCCAGUAGACGGCGGCGACCCUCCCCCUUCCACCCCAAUGCGCCCCUCACACACACACACACACACACAUGCCGCAGCAGCCCUCCGCAGGUGUGCGCGCUUACGUCUCUCUCUCCUCCUCAUCUCGCAGCCCGCUGCAGGCGGGCAAGUGCGUCCUCGUCGGUUUUUAUAUUUUUUUUUUCAUCUUUGUUCUGUGCUUCCCUCUGCCACGGAGGCGCACGCCUGCGUGAUGGUCGUUGCUGCUCGCGUGAAGUGCUCACCUUGCUUUUUUCUUGUCGCUGUCGAGUGCUCAUGUGAGGUCGAGUGUCUGCAUGUCUCUCUGCGUGGGUGUACGUGAGUAGGAUGCUGUGAUACGAUGCGAUAUACACUC
rnacentral:misc_RNA from 1 species